CAUACGUAAGACUGGGCACUCGGACGCACAUGCUUUUAUUUUUAAGUUUGAUUUUAAAACCAGGACUAGAUGAAGCACCCAAGUUUCCUAAUUCUCCCUGGACUUUCCCCCUUUCAAGACUAUCUCCUCUUAAAACUUAAAAGUAUAUGAAAUGAUCAUAUAAUCGCGUUGGAAACGAACAUGCAGUGUUUCCAUUCACGGGAAGUCUGUCUCACCACAUUUCCCCACAGUGUAGGGGACGAAGCUCAACGCCUGUGGUGACCCGCAGGAGGUUCAGGCAGCACGUCUGUUGGAACCUACCUCUUCAGGAUCCCAGCUCAUACAGAAGACCAACUGAAACACCUAGCCUUGUGGGACCGAGCAACUAAUUGACUCUUGGAUUUCCCAUUCACAGCUGCCCAUUUUUGGGUUAGUUGGACUAUAGACUACUUACAAUUGGAAUGAGCCCAUGGUCAGUAAGAGUGGAGUUUGGGAGAACCUUCCAGGGAUUUUAAUUGAAUGAUACUUGUGUCUUGUAUUAAGGUGACAGUGGUUGGUGAGAGAAAUAUACAGAUGUGG